rnacentral:rRNA from 1 species
GAUGAACGCUAGCUACAGGCUUAACACAUGCAAGUCGAGGGGAAACGGCAUCGAAAGCUUGCUUUUGAUGGGCGUCGACCGGCGCACGGGUGAGUAACGCGUAUCCAACCUGCCCAUCACUUGGGAAUAACCUUGCGAAAGUAGGACUAAUGCCCAAUGACAUCCCACGAAGGCAUCCGAAUGGGAUUAAAGAUUUAUCGGUGAUGGAUGGGGAUGCGUCUGAUUAGCUUGUUGGCGGGGUGACGGCCCACCAAGGCAACGAUCAGUAGGGGUUCUGAGAGGAAGGUCACCCACAUAGGAACUGAGACACGGUCCAAACUCAUACGGGAGGAAGCAGUGAGGAAUAUUGGUAAAUGGGCGAGAGCAUGAACCAGCCAAGUAGCGUGCAGGAUGACGGCCCUAUGGGUUGUAAACUGCUUUUAUAAGGGAAUAAAGUGGGUCACGUGUGACUUUUUGCAUGUACCUUAUGAAUAAGGACCGGCUAAUUCCGUG